AGCAGCCGCGGUAAUUCCAGCUCCAAUAGCGUAUAUUAAAGUUGUUGCAGUUAAAAAGCUCGUAGUUGAAUUUCGGGAUCAAUACGCCUGUCGUGCCUUCGGUACGUACGGGUGUAAUUGGUUUCCACCUUCUGAGGAUCCUUGAUGUCAUUAAUUUGGUGUCUUGGGGAAUCAGGACUGUUACCUUGAAAAAAUUAGAGUGUUUAAAGCAGGCAUACGCUUGAAUACAUUAGCAUGGAAUAAUGAAAUAGGACGUUCGAUUCUAUUUUGUUGGUUUCUAGGAUCGACGUAAUGAUUAAUAGGGAUAGUUGGGGGCAUUAGUAUUCAAUUGUCAGAGGUGAAAUUCUUGGAUUUAUUGAAGACUAACUACUGCGAAAGCAUUUGCCAAGGAUGUUUUCAUUAAUCAAGAACGAAAGUUAGGGGAUCGAAGACGAUCAGAUACCGUCGUAG
rnacentral:rRNA from 1 species